rnacentral:rRNA from 1 species
ACUGAGUGGCGGACGGGUGAGUAACGCGUGAGCAACCUGCCCUUCGGAGGGGGAUAGUGUCUGGAAACGGACAGUAAUACCGCAUAACGUAUUUUUACCGCAUGAUAGAAAUACCAAAACUGAGGUGCCGAAGGAUGGGCUCGCGUUGGAUUAGAUAGUUGGUGGGGUAACGGCCUACCAAGUCGACGAUCCAUAGCCGGACUGAGAGGUUGAACGGCCACAUUGGGACUGAGACACGGCCCAGACUCCUACGGGAGGCAGCAG